UUUCCGUUGGUGAACCUGCGGAAGGAUCAUUAUUGAGUUUUGAAUGAAGUUGUUCUGGUCUUUCGGGGCAAGUGAACGCUUCUCUCAAUCCAUCUUACACCUGUGCACCUAUCGGGGAAGACUUGGAUCUAAGUUGGGUCACGACGGCGAUCUACAGUCUCCUCUUUAUACCAAAUAACAGUUUUAGAAAGUCUUUUUUGCUUGAUGCAAACUUAAAUAAAUACAACUUUCAGCAACGGAUCUCUUGGCUCUC
rnacentral:misc_RNA from 1 species